GCCAGCGUCAGAGUCAGGCACCACCGCGCAGCCUUCUCUGCGGCACCAUCCUAAUCCCCCGCUAGAGAACGGCACACGCGCACGCAGCAGCCCCGUGCACGGAAACACUACUCCGCCAGCGGCCAGGCACUCGGUCCAGGUGGCGGUUAGUUGGGGCCAGGGAAGCGUGGAGGGUGGGUUCCAAUCGAGUCAAGAAAAGCCUGGGGUGUCCUGAACUCUGCCUGCUUCCCCAGCCCUGCCAGUUUCCAGAGAAGGCGCUUGAGAAGGAGAAACGAAUCGCUGCUGCUCUUCUAAAAGCCGGUUCCCUCUCUGGUGUCUGUGGACCCUGCUUCUGAAGUACAUGAACCUUGAGGAAAAUUGACCAGUUCUAGCAGUUCUAAAAUCAUGGCUCGUGAUUUGGUGAUGUUCAGAGAUGUGGCUGUAGACUUUUCUCAGGAAGAAUGGGAAUGCCUGAACUCAUAUCAGAGGAAUUUGUACAGAGAUGUGAUAUUAGAGAACUAUAGCAACUUGGUGUCACUGGGAUGUUCUAUUUCUAAGCCAGAUGUGAUCACCCUAUUGGAACAAGGGAAAGAGCCCUGGAUGGUUGUGAGGGAUGAGAAAAGAAGAUGGACUCUAGAUUUGGAAUCCAGAUAUGACACUAAAAAGUUAUUUCAAGGAAAGGAUAUUUAUGAAAUGAACUUAUCUCAGUGGAAGGUAAUGGAAAGAAUUAAAAGCUGUGGACUUGAAGAACAAGAAAGUCCUCAUGAGGUGUGUUUCA
rnacentral:lncRNA from 1 species